AUUGAACGCUGGCGGCAGGCCUAACACAUGCAAGUCGAACGGUAACAGGAAACAGCUUGCUGUUUCGCUGACGAGUGGCGGACGGGUGAGUAAUGUCUGGGAAACUGCCUGAUGGAGGGGGAUAACUACUGGAAACGGUAGCUAAUACCGCAUAACGUCGCAAGCCCAAAGAGGGGGGCCUUCGGGCCUCUUGCCAUCAGAUGUGCCCAGAUGGGAUUAGCUAGUAGGUGGGGUAACGGCUCACCUAGGCGACGAUCCCUAGCUGGUCUGAGAGGAUGACCAGCCACACUGGAACUGAGACACGGUCCAGACUCCUACGGGAGGCAGCAGUGGGGAAUAUUGCACAAUGGGCGCAAGCCUGAUGCAGCCAUGCCGCGUGUAUGAAGAAGGCCUUCGGGUUGUAAAGUACUUUCAGCGGGGAGGAAGGGAGUAAAGUUAAUACCUUUGCUCAUUGACGUUACCCGCAGAAGAAGCACCGGCUAACUCCGCG
rnacentral:rRNA from 1 species